rnacentral:miRNA from 1 species
GUCUCCGUACACCGGACCAUCG